rnacentral:tRNA from 1 species
GUUGGUAGUAUAGAUUUAAGUAUGCCGUCUUUCCAAGUCGGAGGUCUAAUGGUUUAGUCAUCG